UCCCUGGUGGUCUAGUGGGUAGGAUUUGGUGCUUUCACCACCGCGGCCCGGGUUCGAUUCCCAGUCAGGGAA
rnacentral:tRNA from 1 species